GUCACUGUUUCUUAGAACAUUCUAUCCAAAAAGGCAGAAGGGGUAGGAUUACAAAAGAACAGGUGAGUGUAACUCAACCCCAGUGGGUGAUGCCUACACCUGGACAAGUACUUUUGGUCAGACUCUGGGGUGAGGAUAGUAGCUGAGCCAGGCAGAUAUCCUGUUGCUUCGGCUCUCAUGCUUGCAGUUAAUCUCACUGCCAAAAAUACUGCAUUAAACACUGGCACAAACCUGUAAUCCCAGUGGUUCAGGAAGCUAAAACAAGAGAAUCGCAAGUUCAAAGCCAGCUUCUGCAACUGCAAAGUGCAUUGAGACCCUGUCUCUAAAUAAAAUACAAAAUAGGGCUGGAGAUGUGGCCAUGGUUGAGUGCCCCUGGGUUCAAUCCCUGGUACAAAAAAAAGGAAAAAAAAUUGUAUUAAAAGCACAGACAGGCUCUGACCUUGAAGAUGAGUCACGUGAACAGUCCUUUGUUACCAUGUGAAUGACGGGGUUACAGAAGAGACCUCAACCAGAUGAGAAGUGUUAUUCAUCCAGCAUAUGGGGACCAACCUCUGGUGGCUUUGAUUGGAGUGUCGAGAGCUAUGACCUGCCCAGAAUGCAUGUGGGUGAUUGGAUGCUUUUGGAAAACACGGGCACAUACACUGUUGCCACUGCUGCUACUUUCAGUGGAUUCCAGAGGCCAUCUAUCAUGUGAUGUCAUGACCAACACGGCAAUGCAGGCAGCAAAGUCAGAACCAUGGCUUCCCACCCGAAGUGGAAGAGCAGGACGUGGGCACUCUGCCUGUGCCUUGUGCUCAGGAAAGCAGCAUGAAAUGUCACCCGGCUGUGAGCAC
rnacentral:lncRNA from 1 species